UCAGUGUCGUAGCUAACCCGGUAAGCGCACCGCCUGGGWAGUACGGCCGCAAGGUUGAAACUCAAAGGAASRGACGGGGWCCCGCACAAGCGGUGGAGCAUGUGGUUUAAUUCGAAGCAACGCGCGAACCUUACCAGCCCUUGACAUGGGCAGACCGRSCCAGAGAUGGGGGCUUUUCCCGCAAGGGGCCUGAUGCACAGGUGCUGCAAGGCUGUCGUCAGCUCGUGUCGUGAGAUGUUGGGUUAAGUCCCGCAACGAGCGCAACCCUCGCCUUUAGUUGCCAGCAWGUUUUGGUGGCAACUCUAGAGGAACUGCCGGURAAAAGCCGGAGGCCGGGGAUGCAUCAAGACUUCAUGCCCCUCGCGGCCYGGGCUACACACGUGCUGACAACGGCGGUGACAAUCGGAAGCUGCCUGGCGAUGUCGAGCUGAUGCUAAAACACCGUCUUAGUUCGGACUUCAGCCUGCAAAACGGCUGCGUGAAACUGGCACCACCACCUGCGGCUGAUCAACACCUCCUUAGUGAAUACCCCCCAAGCCUUGUACACACCGCCCGUCACACCAUGGGGGGUUGGUUAUACCUUAAGCAGGUUGCWAACCCGCAAGGAAGGUAGCCUGCCACGGWRAA
rnacentral:rRNA from 1 species